AUUAGGCUCUCCACCACUAAACAUCAAAAUAUUCUCAGUAGUACUGUUCGGUUAUUUCGCUUCUAAAAUUACAUUACAUUUUAAAUCGCUUUCUUUUUUACUUUGCAAAAUUAAAAAAAUACGAUUUUCUGUUUUCUUCUUUAAAAUGAUUCAAUCUCACUUCCCCUUCAAAGAUUAUAUGGAGAGUCUCUUCAAUUUUCUCUACCUCCGCCUCUUCCGUGCCUGUAUGUGAAUAUUGCCGAUGACAAUUGCUUCUCCGGCGAUGAAGUGUGAUAGAAAACGGCGACCUCCAGCAAUUUCUUCAACAAUAUUUGUCAAAUCGUUUUUUAUUUUGCUAUCGCACUAGUGCUGUUUCUGAGGAGAUAUUCUGAAAAUGGAACUUCGAGGUUCAAGUUUGUAGAAACUGUAGGGAAAAGUCAUGGUUUUGUCCAAUUUUUGUCUCAAUGUUGAAACGGGUUGCUAAAUAAGUGGGAGAGAUUUCGGUGAUGUAGACCCAUUUUCCUUCUAAUUUGUUGCUCCUCAUAGCGGGAGCAUAUUACAUUUAUUUUAUAUCAAUACAGAAACAUGAAGAUGGCAGAAAAUAUUGAGAGUGACGAAGAGGUUGAAGUUAGGAAGACGAAUGUGGAAGCGAGAAAGGCAAAAAAAAAAUAAUACUUGUGACUGUCUGGUAUAUGGAUUUUCAGUUUUAGUUGUUUGUUUGGAUUAUUUUGUUGUAUAUGAUUAUUUUCUAAACUUAUGAAUAUUGGUUGUUAUUUUUGUUCA